rnacentral:rRNA from 1 species
UACGUAGGGUGCGAGCGUUGUCCUGAAUUAUUGGGCGUAAAGAGCUCGUAGGCGGUCUGUCGCGUCUGCUGUGAAAUCCCGAGGCUCAACCUCGGGCUUGCAGUGGGUACGGGCAGGCUAGAGUGCGGUAGGGGAGAAUGGAACUCCUGGUGUAGCGGUGAAAUGCGCAGAUAUCAGGAGGAACACCGAUGGCGAAGGCAGGUCUCUGGGCAUUAACUGACGCUGAGGAGCGAAAGCAUGGGGAGCGAACAGG